UGAACUCCUUCAUUGAACGUCAUAGGAGUCUCAGCAUUCCUAUUGGAUUUCCACCUUUGGCAAACGUCAUCUCAGCCAGCAAGCCCGGAAUUCAGGAGCAUGUCCACCCUUUUGACAAUUCAAAUAUGGGGAUCCAAAGCAUGCCAAACCUUCAUCCUCAUUCUUUUUCAGAGUACCUCGACAACUUUACAAAUGGUAGUCCAUAUAAGUCCUCGACAGCAUUUUCUGAAGUCGUCAGUGAUGGCUCGAAAGCAAAUGAUGCCUUUAUGUUACAUAAUGUUCGUGGAGUGGAUGGCUUUAACGGAGGGGGUAAGCUCUUUAUCUCUAAAUUGCUACUGUUUUGAUAAAUUUGUCGAAGAAUAAUGAUGAUAUGUAGUUGACAAUUGUGAGUUUAAGAAGAAUGUCUGCCGUAGCACACUGUUAGGAUGGUCCUUACAAUUUUAGUGGAAUCUGAAAUGUGCUACAGCGAUGAAAAUUCUAGGUACUGUUUCUGUAGACAACUUUUUUUAAAAGCAUUCUUGGUGUAAAACUUGUCAUCCUGGGAAAAUAUUAUUAGUAUUAUGUUCUUAAUUGCAGUCAUAUAGACAGAUAACUGUGCUGGGUUUGAAAUUGAAUUUGAAAGUGGCUGAAACAUUCGUUGUGUAUGUCAACAGAAUUGCACAAUUACUGAGUGCUAGUAUUUCUUCUACUGUCAUACAUAAUAUUGUUUUUUUCUUUCUCACUUUUAGUUGUUGUGGUCUUUUGACUGUAGGCAUAGGGUCUCCCAUGAACCAAAACUCCCGCCGCCCUAACCUUAAUUUAUGGAGCAAUUCUAACACUCAGCAACAAAAUCCUUCAGGUGGCAUGAUGUGGCCUAGCUCGCCGUCUCACCUCAACGGCAAACGUCAUCUCAGCCAGCAAGCCCGGAAUUCAGGAGCAUGUCCACCCUUUUGACAAUUCAAAUAUGGGGAUCCAAAGCAUGCCAAACCUUCAUCCUCAUUCUUUUUCAGAGUACCUCGACAACUUUACAAAUGGUAGUCCAUAUAAGUCCUCGACAGCAUUUUCUGAAGUCGUUAGUGAUGGCUCGAAAGCAAAUGAUGCCUUUAUGUUACAUAAUGUUCGUGGAGUGGAUGGCUUUAACGG
rnacentral:lncRNA from 1 species